rnacentral:rRNA from 1 species
UACGUAGGGUGCGAGCGUUGUCCGGAAUUACUGGGCGUAAAGAGCUCGUAGGUGGUUUGUCGCGUUGUUCGUGAAAACUCACAACUCAAUUGUGGGCGUGCGGGCGAUACGGGGCAGACUGGAGUACUGCAGGGGAGACUGGAAGUUCCUGGUGUAGCGGUGGAAUGCGCAGAUAUCAGGAGGAACACCGGUGGCGAAGGCGGGUCUCUGGGCAGUGAACUGACGCUGAGGAGCGAAAGCGUGGGGAGCGAACAGG